ensembl:lncRNA
CCUGGUCACCCCCUCGCUCCUGCAGAUGGUGCGGCUGCGCUNNNNNNNNNNNNNNNNNNNNNNNNNNNNNNNNNNNNNNNNNNNNNNNNNNNNNNNNNNNNNNNNNNNNNNNNNNNNNNNNNNNNNNNNNNNNNNNNNNNNNNNNNNNNNNNNNNNNNNNNNNNNNNNNNNUCAAAGCCUCCAGUCUGGCUGCCGGCAAGGACCCUGGGAGCGCCCAGCCCAAUGGACCACCGGAGGCCGAGCCACGGUCUCCCCAGUCCCCUGCCUCUAUGGCCAGCUUCAUCUUCUCCAAGGGCACCAAGAAGCUGCAGCUGGAGCGGCCGGUGUCCCCUGAGGCCCAGGCUGACCUCCAGCGGAAUCUGGUGGCUGAACUUCGGACCAUCUCGGAGCAGCGGCCAUCCCAGGCCCCAAAGAAGCCACCUAAAGCUCCCCCACCGGUGGCCCGCAAGCCCUCUGUGGGGGUCCCACCCUCCCCCUCCCCCACCUUUCCUCGGGCUGAGUCCCUUCCUGCUCCUCCCACCAACGGGCUCCUUCAUGCUGAGGACAGGACUAAGGGGGAGCUGGCGGAGAACGGAAGUGUCGUGCAGCUGGUGGGCUCGGAGGAGCAGAAGCUGGGCCCACCUGGCUCAGACCCACAGAAAGAGCUGGUCUGACCACCAGCACCUCGCUGGCACUGCUGACCCAUCCCAGGAAUACAAUCUCAGGGACCUGAGCAGCUCCAAGGACGAGAGGAUACGGCAGACACUUAACCUAGUAGAGAGGAUGCCUGCGGCCUUAACCUUCACAGCCUUCGAUAUUUAUGCAAGCCUGGUGUUGAUCCUGUCCUCCAAGUCAUCCAGCUCAUGCCCCCUCCCCGCACCCCCCUGCCAUGGAUUGAUUCCCCUCUGGCAGCUGCUGCUUGUCUUGGCCUUAGCCUCAUCUUGAAGGAGGUAGCUGGUGGGAGCGGGUGGCUGCGCCCCCUGCUGGCCACGAGGCCACACAGUUGGGAGCAGAGCACCUCACUUGAGUUUCUUUCCUUUUUCCCCCCCAUGUCCAAAUCAUGCACAUACUGUAGUCCAGAAUCAAAGCACUUUUGAAAAGUGGCUGCAUGUCCAUCCUCCAGGGCCCACGAAGCCGCUUUCCAAGGGCCUGUUUACAUGGCAGCAGCAUCAGUCCCCGGUAGCCAGCCCAUAGCUGGGACCAGUCUGUCCCCUCCCUCCGAUCCAGUUUGCCCAUUUCUUAGUUCUUGGAGGUGCGCGAGUCAUUGUAUUCCCACAGGCUUCUCCAGGCUGGAGGCAGGAGCGGGGCUGUGGAAUUCCAAAGCACAAAAGGUGCAGCAGGGGUUAGCCCUCUUGUGCCUCAACUUACCACCAACCACCCUCCUUGCCUUGCAGUUCUGCCAGGUGCUCCAUGCAGGGGACAAGAAGUGGGAGACUGCCUGGGCCCAAGUGGGGGUGAGGGUGGGGGAGAAGAACCAGAGGGGCAGUCCACAGGCCCUCUGUCUUCAGAGAGUGGGAGAACAGAAUUGGGAGACGUCUCAGCGGGCUCUUGGUGAUGCCAGGCAUCCGCCCCUUGUUUCACUUGGGCAGGCGCAACACUUUGGAGGCAGGAGCCCGUGGGCUGUGGCAAAGCUGUGUCCCUUUCAGCGGGGCAGGAAGUCCUGAGGAGGGGGGUGGAGGGGUCUGGCCAGGGGAGCGCUUGUUUGGGCAGUGGGCCCAGACCUGGCCCUACACAUCCGUUCUGUGAUCUUUCUCUUUCCUCGGUGCAUGUUCUUUCUGCAGCUGCCUUUCAGCACAGGUGGUCUCACUGGGGGGGAGCUGACGCUGAGUGACAAGGAUGGGGAGCCAAAGGUGCAUUCUAUUCCAGACUCUUCCCUAGUUAAUGAAGGGGGUUCCGUGCUCCUAGGGUGCAGGCUGAGUGAUUGCCCCCUAGCUGCCAGCCUCUGCUACUGAUCUCUUCUCUAGGAAUUUUAACGACAUAUUUUCGGCCUGUGCCCUCUAGGUAAGCCGGCUUCCCCACUGGCCCCGGCGCCUCCCUCCGUAGUAGUGUGGCUCCCACCCGGGCCACCCCUUCUGUCCUGGUCCUCUUUCCUCAACAGUGACCUGGGCUUGAGCCUGGCAGGGAGGCUCACUUUUAGCUGCUUCUCUGGAGAGACUGAAGCCCUCCCAGAACAAGAGCUGGGAAUAUAGGGGAUGUGGUACGAGAGCCCAGCAUCCUCUGGCCCUCCCUCACUACUGUCUUCUCCCUGUAGCUGUAAACCAAGGUCGUUUCCUUGCCCCGUGGGCGAGGGGGAGCAGCUGCUGGGUACCUGUUGCACUUGCCCAGCAAGCUGGGGGAAGAGGAGAGUCAGUAUGCGUCAGUAUGCGCUGCUCCGCUCAGAGCUCCUGACCCAGCCCCCUGGGAACCAAGACCAGGCCAAAGCCUCCGGGAGACCAGGCCCUGGCGGCAGCCCUGGACUUGCUGGAGGUGGGAGGGAGCCCAGCUUCUGUGUUUCUUGCCCUCCCCCCUUUCCCCUCCCUUGUCAAUGUUACUUGAGCUCCUUAUCCUCGGCUAGAAUCUUCUGAGCUUGUUUCCCCACUGGGUGGGACAGAGUACAAAGGAGAAGGGAGGAUCUGGAAGAGGCAACCCCUCUUUGUCCUCUGGGGUACAUGAGUGCGACCUAAUGCAGAUGGAGACCAAAAGCCUCUGAUUUUUAAUUUCCAUAAAAAUGUUAGAGAGAGAAGUAUAUAUAUAUUUCUUUAAAUUUUUGAGUCUUUGAUAUGUCUAUACAAACAAUCCAUUCCCUCUGCCCUGAAGCCUGAGUGAGACACAUGAAAAAGCUCUGUGAGUGUUUCAUUCGAAGGUGUUAAUUAAAUGAUUAAAACUUGGCUAUGGUUUGCUGCUUCUUAACGGGAGAGGGACAGGGUCUGGGUGUGGGCCCACUAUUAGGAGGGAAAAUGUUCUUUCUGCUGUAAGCACUGGACUCCAAAGUGGGCCUCCUCUGUUUGUUUUUUUUAAGUGAGAAUCUUAAGCAGGCUCCACACCCAGGGCGGGGCCUGACACAGGGUUUGAUCUUACAACCCUGAGAUCAUGACCUGAGCCGAAGUGAAGUCUGGUGCUCAACCCACUGAGCCACCCAGGUGCCCCCAGUCUCUUCUGCUUUUAUCGCCAAAGGAAAAGUCAAAGAGUCUGUGAUCCAUUCAGUUCACACCCCCCCCCCCUUACAGGGUCAAAAGUCCAGGAUACAAGCAGCCUAGGCUGGGUGAGGGGCCCAGCAGCUGCUCCACACUUGUGUUCCUCCCUCCUGAGAUGGUCCAGCUCAUAGACAGGCCCAUCCAGACACUCUUGUUCAGACAGUUUAUUCGAAUUCAUGACAGCAACAGUGAUUCUGACUUAGGUAUCCCACUCUCUCUGAAGAAAGAUUCAGGCUGUGCCAUCUGCUGCCUUCUGAUAUCAACACACCGCUGCUUUAGGGAAUGUCCCAGCCCAGCAGGAUCAAGGGAAAGAAAUGGCAGGAGCCCCGGGGCCGGGCCUCACGGUUGGCAGGCACUGGGGAGAACUGCCCACCACUUGGUAGACCACUAGGUUCUCUUUUUCCCCUCCCUUUCCUUUUCGAAUCCCACAAUUUCCUGCUGGGGAAAGGCUGUAAUUAGCCCAGUUCAGGCACCAGAUCCCAGACCCCAGGCACAGCUGCUGGAAGAACUCUAGGAAAAGAACCGAUAUUUUUCCAAUUAGAAAGACUGUGGCAUAAACCUUUUCUAGGAGUUAUAUUGAAACCAGAUUUCUCCAGUCAGCUGCCAGGGGAAGAAGGUAGAGCUGGACUCCCUGCUGCUGCCCCGCCCUCAUUACUACCCGGGGGGUCAGCGGCUGACCACAGCAGCCCAGCAGCCCAGACGGGAUGGUUCUGGAUUCUGGGGGAGGCUGAACUGCCGCUUACUGAAUUCCACACCUAAUAAAGUCCCCAACUUCCUGCCUCGGCGUCCUGGC